UACGUAGGUGGCAAGCGUUGUCCGGAAUUAUUGGGCGUAAAGCGCGCGCAGGUGGUUUCUUAAGUCUGAUGUGAAAGCCCACGGCUCAACCGUGGAGGGUCAUUGGAAACUGGGGAACUUGAGUGCAGGAGAGAAGAGUGGAAUUCCACGUGUAGCGGUGAAAUGCGUAGAUAUCGGGAGGAACACCCAUGGCGAAGGCAGCAAGCUGGGCGACACCUGACGCUGAGGCGCGAAAGCGUGGGGAGCGAACAGG
rnacentral:rRNA from 1 species